rnacentral:rRNA from 1 species
AUGCCACGGGGAACGGUGAGCGUGGGACGGCCGACAUCGACGGCACUGCCGGUCGUGAGCGCGGGCACGGUUGGCACUGGUGGGAUUGUAGGAAUGGUCAUCGUAGUAGCCGCCAGGGCAGUGCCGCAGCGUGCUCCUGCCACCGCCAGUCCGCCAUCGCGUCCCUGCUUCUUCCUCCUCACACCGCGCCACCCCCGGCGGCCUCCCAUCAAUGAGGCCACUUGCCUCGCGCCGGCGCGGCAGGACGAGCAGUUGUCGUCGUUCACGAAUCUGGUCCGGGCAUGGAAGCUCGUCGUGGCUGUGUCGUGCGUGCUAAGGGCACCGUCUUCUUCUGCCAGCUCCGGGCUCUGGCACGCCGCGGCCGGCGUCGGCGACGCCGUCAUGCAAAGUCAUCAGGUGAGCCCGAAGAUGAGCUUCGACGGCCGCCCCAAGGAGCACGCACACGUCACGAGGAGGGUGGCAGCCGAGGACACGCCCGACAUCGUCGACGCGUUCAGACGCGCCGCCGGUAAUGCCAUCGAUGCCGGAUUGCCAGUGCGUGCGUGGGAGCUUGUUGCGUCAAAUUGUUUUCGAGUGACGAAGCCCAACUCCCUGUUUCAUUUCUGUAAUCAGAUAACAACCGUGACGUGCCAUGGCAGGCUUCGACAGUAUCGAGCUCCAAGGCACCAUAGGCUACUUUGUCAAUCACGCCGGCGGCCCGCGCUGGAUGUUAUCAUGUAA